UACAGAGGGGGCAAGCGUUAUUCGGAAUUAUUGGGCGUAAAGGGCGCGUAGGCGGCUUUUUCAAGUGGCGGGUGAAAGCCCUCGGCUUAACCGAGGAACUGCCUGCCAGACUGGAUCGCUUGAGACCGGGAGAGGUGAGUGGAAUUCCCAGUGUAGCGGUGAAAUGCGUAGAUAUUGGGGAGGAACACCGGUGGCGAAGGCGACAUCCUGGACCGGUAUUGACGCUGAGGCGCGAAAGCCAGGGGAGCAAACGGG
rnacentral:rRNA from 1 species